rnacentral:rRNA from 1 species
AUGUGCAUACCCAAGAAGUUGGGUGGCAUGGGCUUUCAAGAUCUCGACCAUUUCAAUUUAGCCAUGCUUGCCAAACAAAAAUUGAGAAUUUUGAACUACGGAAAUUCCCAAUGUACACAAGUGUGGAGGGCCAAAUAUUUUUCGGAUGGUAAUAUUUUAAACACAAGACCUAAGAAAGGAUCAUCUUAUACCUGGCAGAGUAUAGUGGCUAGCUUGCAAACGGUUGGCAUGGGCAUGUUUGGAGAGUGGGUUCGGGAACUCGUAUUAACAUAUGGGAGGACCGCUGGUUGUUAA